GGGAUCCCUGGGUUCGGUGGCAAGAACGGCUGGGGCAACAUGGGCGGUGGUUAUGGCGCCGGCUACGGUGGUCCCGGCGGGGGCUACGCGCGCGGUGGGGUCAUCCGGCCUACAGUUGUCUGCUCGGAUCGCGGUCCUUGCUACAAGAAGAAGCUCUCCUGCCCGGCCAAGUGCUUCAAUUCGUACAGCCGAUCAGGGAAGAACUACGGCGCCGGAGGCGGCGGCGGGGGCUGCACCAUCGACUGCAAGAAGCACUGUGUUGCUUACUGUUGAUUUCACCGCGGUAACUAACUAGCCAUUUAUAUGACUUAGGGUUGCUUAUAGAUCGCUACGAUGAGUUUGUUGCUUAUGUGUGCCAGAGUUGUGAAGGGGAUGUUGUGUGUGGG
rnacentral:misc_RNA from 1 species